GUCGCUUCAUUAGCAAAGACGGCCCUUUAUGAUGUGUUUACGACCGAAUACCUGACUCUGAAUGUACUUAAGCUUAAAUCAGAAAGAGGUGAAAGGCGGUUUGAGUGCGUCUGGCACAUGAGUGACACACGGGAACCAACGUAAACGGAAGAAAAAAGUCUGGCCCAAAGCUGGAGGACGCCAUCAUGGAAACACAUGCAAACACGCAUGUUCAGGACGGCUUCAUGUUCAGGACGUUUUCAGCCCCUCAGGGAAGCAGAACCGGGUCUGAAUCUGCAAGGACCCAAAGAAUCGUGGUACCGGAGAGAAGACAAUCAGACGGAGAAGGAUGAGGAGGAGCGCUGCGGUUGAGAAACCAAUCCAGACACAAAACAGAGAUCUGGAGUACAGAGGUGGCAGGACUGAGAAAGGGGUAAAA